rnacentral:tRNA from 1 species
GGGUGAUUAGCCCAGCUUGGAGAGCCCCUCCCUUUCAAGGAGGGGGUCCGCGGUUCGAUCCCGUCAUCACCCA